UACGUAGGGUGCAAGCGUUUGUCCGGAAUUAUUGGGCGUAAAGAGCUCGUAGGUGGCCUGUCGCGUCGGCUGUGAAAACUCGGGGCUCAACUCCGAGCUGCAGUCGAUACGGGCAGGCUAGAGUUCGGCAGGGGAGACUGGAAUUCCUGGUGUAGCGGUGAAAUGCGCAGAUAUCAGGAGGAACACCGGUGGCGAAGGCGGGUCUCUGGGCCGAUACUGACACUGAGGAGCGAAAGCGUGGGGAGCGAACAGG
rnacentral:rRNA from 1 species